UACGUAGGUGGCAAGCGUUGUCCGGAAUUAUUGGGCGUAAAGCGCGCGCAGGCGGAUCAGUCAGUCUGUCUUAAAAGUUCGGGGCUUAACCCCGUGAUGGGAUGGAAACUGCUGAUCUAGAGUAUCGGAGAGGAAAGUGGAAUUCCUAGUGUAGCGGUGAAAUGCGUAGAUAUUAGGAAGAACACCAGUGGCGAAGGCGACUUUCUGGACGAAAACUGACGCUGAGGCGCGAAAGCCAGGGGAGCGAACGGGAUUAGAUACCCCCGUAGUCC
rnacentral:rRNA from 1 species